rnacentral:rRNA from 1 species
GACGUAGGUGGCGAACGUUAUCCGGAAUUAUUGGGCGUAAAGGGUGCGUAGGUGGCGCUGUAAGUCGGGUGUGAAAUUUCGGAGCUUAACUCCGAAACUGCAUUCGAUACUGCGGUGCUUGAGGACUGGAGAGGAGACUGGAAUUCAUGGUGUAGCAGUGAAAUGCGUAGAGAUCAUGAGGAAGACCAGUGGCGAAGGCGGGUCUCUGGACAGUUCCUGACACUGAGGCACGAAGGCCAGGGGAGCAAACGGG